rfam:Physcomitrella patens subsp. patens PHYPAscaffold_127 genomic scaffold, whole genome shotgun sequence.
CCCGGUGGGGAUUUCACGGUUAGGAUACUCGGCUCUCACCCGAGCGACCCGGGUUCGAAUCCCGGCAACGGAA